GUCCACGCCCUAAACGAUGAUUACUGGACAUUGGCAAUAUGACCGAUCAGUGUCUUUGAUAAGCGAAAGCAUUAAGUAAUCCACCUGGGAAGUACGACCGCAAGGUUGAAACUCAAAGGAAUUGACGGGGGUCCGCACAAGCGGUGGAGUAUGUGGUUUAAUUCGAUGAUACGCGAGGAACCUUACCUGGGCUAGAAUGCUAUUUGACCGUCUGUGAAAGCAGAUUUUCCGCAAGGACAGAUAGUAAGGUGCUGCAUGGCCGUCGU
rnacentral:rRNA from 1 species